UACGGGGGGGGCAAGCGUUGUUCGGAAUUACUGGGCGUAAAGGGCUCGUAGGUGGCCAACUAAGUCAGACGUGAAAUCCCUCGGCUUAACCGGGGAACUGCGUCUGAUACUGGAUGGCUUGAGAUUGGGAGAGGGAUGCGGAAUUCCAGGUGUAGCGGUGAAAUGCGUAGAUAUCUGGAGGAACACCGGUGGCGAAGGCGGCAUCCUGGACCAACACUGACGCUGAGGAGCGAAAGCCAGGGGAGCAAACAGG
rnacentral:rRNA from 1 species